UACGGAGGGGGCUAGCGUUGUUCGGAAUUACUGGGCGUAAAGCGCGCGUAGGCGGCUUUGUAAGUUAGAGGUAGCGAAAGCCCGGAGCUCAACUUCCGGAAUUGCCUUUAAGACUGCAUCGCUAGAAUCAUGGAGAGGUGAGUGGAAAUUCCGAGUGUAGAGGUGGAAAAUUCGUAGAUAUUCGGGAAAGAACACCCAGUGGCGAAGGCGACUCACUGGACAUGGUAUUGAACGCUGAGGUGCGAAAGCGUGGGGAGCAAACAGG
rnacentral:rRNA from 1 species